AGCACCCAGAGGGAUGCAAGGACCUGAAAAGCCAAAAUGUCAUACUUUGCCCUUCUAUUGAUUACCAAAGCCACCGAAACUUCAUUGCACAGUUGGUACUGACUGAACACCCUUAUAAAUAACAAUGCAACAUCAAGCCACAGUGUGUCUGACUCUGGAGUAGCACGUUUCUAACCACGUCAGUAAGCGAAGUUCAAAGUAUAAACAGAAAUGAUUCUUUCAGUACAUGUGAAAUGAUUUGCUGGCAUUCUUUGUUCCCUGUGGACAUCAGUCCAAGUACAAAGACCACUUCAGACUGGCAAUCUCUCUAAAUCCCUGUUUGGAAUCAAAGUGAUGAAAGGACAAGGCAUUUUUGACAAGGCCUGAUCUACAUGCAGAAGCUAAGCAUCAUAGUUCUGUGUUCACUUCCCACAACAGCAUCAGACAUUUUCAGCAGGGCUCAAAGCUUUGUUAAAAGAGUCUGCAGAAGAUCCUUGAAAUGCUGCAUGACCUGCUGAGUGUUCCCGGGAUUUUCAGUUUUAAUUCAAGAUGAAAGUUGACUGACUUUAGCUGCUAAUGGAAUCAAGGUCAACAGAGUUUGAGCAGGAAAGUAAAACCAAAGUAAAUAAUCAGCCAUGAUUUUGUUAAAGUAUCCCCACCCCAAUGAUACUUCUUUUGAACACCUGAUCAAUGCACUUCCCUGUCCCCUUUCUAAUGGCCACUUCCCUUCUACUUGACACUCGUUUGUCAUCCUCAGUUCUGAGAUAUAUACAUGAGGCUGAGAGGCACUAAAGUGCUAUGACUUCUUGGAGAAUCAAGGAAUUCAUAGAUUUAUAUAAGUUAGGAGGCUAAGUAAACUCAGAUUUAUUUGCAGUUAAUGUAGUACAUUGAGAAUGACAUUAGCGGGCUCCCAUGAUCAGGAACCAAAUAAAUGAUAGGGCCAUCUGUUCCUCUUGAUGUACAGCAUGUUUGUUGAGCGAUAGCACUGGCUAUUGUGAAUAAAGUUCUGAGGUCUUUUACAUCCAGUUCUACAUUUCGACAGCCUGUCAGUGCUUAACCAAACUUAUGGAUAUUUGACUGAGCUGUCUACAUAGUUGCUGUAUUACUGUCCUUCUCCCUCACCCCUUAUCCCAACUACAGAUGAUUGCAAUGCAAUGCAUUUCUUACCAUCUGUAAAAACUUUACUGAAGUCCAAAUUUAUGCAAGAAAGUAUGCUGAUCGGGACAGGUGUUUCUGAACUGGGAGCAAAUAUUAACCUUUAAUUCAAUUUCCUCUGUUCAAAAGACUAUCAUUUCAAAACUGUUGUCUGCCGUCUGUAUUUUGUAAUCGUUCCUUUACCCACAUUUAUGGAAAGGUUCCAACAUUUGCACAAUGGAAAGCUCAAUGUUAAUGAGCAAAGAUUGUGGGAAAGUAUAUGGUGAGCUGCCCUGCUGACCUGCAUGUUAACGCUACAUUAAGCGCAUUCUUUCAUAUCAGUGAAGCAGUCUCUGACAUGAUAGUAAACAAAACAGACGUGGGGUCAGGUUAAAAAUGACACAUUUUGAUUCAAGUGCAGGUGUAGCCACUCAACAAAGGCGAACUUCAAAACCCAUCUGAGACUUUCAAUAGUUUUGAUCAGAUCCUUUAUAAAACUAUUGGUAUCUAACAUGAUUGAUUAAAUGUCAAGGAGUUUUAGAAAACACUUCUUCCCAUUUCUGGAUCAAAGGUGAACCCUUGAUAACAAAUUGAAAAAUGGUGUCCUUAUUUUUGCCAUGUCAUUUUGAAGGAUAAACCUUCAUUAUCAUUACAUUAGCAAAGUUGCAAAGCAGAUGUUCCCUAACUGCCCCAAACUAAAUGACUACUACCAAUGACAAUUGGGAUGACACCUAGCACUGUAGCACCUUUAGGCUAGGGAGUGGGUUAAAUCAGCUCUUGAGCACUAUCCAAUAACCCUGCUGCCUACAAUGUAUGGGUAUAGAUUUCAUCGUAUUGGGUUCAGAGUAAAUCCAAGACCUUUGACUGCUAACUCAAUGGCUGGCAGUUAUUCCAGAGCAAAUUGACUAGAUUAUCUAAGAUUUAAGCAAUGUAGGUGUCAAUGGCAAAAUCAACCUCUAACCAACUUUAAGGUCAUGAUGAGCCUCCUUCCUUAACUAUUGAAUUUCUUCUGAUGAAGGUUUAUCCAUACAGCAAUGAAUAAUGAAUUCCAGGAAAGUGACAAAGUGACAACUAAGCUAUGGUGAUAUGUAUCCAGUUUAUUAAAGUGUGUUGCUGGGUAAUGAUCUGGCAUGUGACUUUAGUCUUAUUUCAUGGAAUUCCUCCAUCAGGGUGAAUUCCCAAUAAUAUAACAAAUAAAGGCACUAGCAGAAGCUACUGACGUCAGAUUUAUUUUUCAUUCUACAUUAAGUUAUACUAACUUAGCUUCAGCAGGUUAGGAAGGAGUAGAAUAUAAAAUUCUGUUUUUUCCCUGGUUCUUCACUGGCUUCAGCUGGAAAGCUAUCAAAUAAGUAACCUUUCCAGUUUAAUUGCAUCAUGGUUGACAAUAUCCAUUUUGGCUCCCACAAAACCCUUCCAAAAUCAGAGCAAGAUACUAUAUUUCUCUUUGUCAGAUUGCUAAACUAUGAUUGUUAACAAGUUGGGGCAGUGGGGAGAUGAUGUGUUGGGGAGUAAUGCAUAAACUAUAUGAGUGGACAGGGAUAACUAAUUGUGCUGGCUGGUGGUGUAGUGGAAUCAGACUUCAAGGCGAAUGGUCCCGAGUUCAAAUCCAGCCAGCUCCUUGCAUGUUUUCCGUCUGUGCUGGGUUGAGUGUCAAGCUAGCAACUCGGCCUCGUAAAGUCAAAAUGCUACAGAUACGACAAAAGUGUUGCCUGAUGCGGCAAAAGGAACAACAAUGGAUAACAGCAUCCCUGGCCAUCUUCUUUCAGGAUAGGUGUGAAGAAGUGUGUUGAUAUUCCAUAACCCAUCUAUAACCCAUCUCUAUAUUAUAUUAAAUGUCCUCCAAUGAACAAUUGUAGAACCACAGAUGUAUCCAAUACACCAGAGUGUCCAUGGUCAUCCAGAAAAAUCCUCCCGCCGAUAUCCUUAUGUAUUGACUUGCAUCAUUCUGCUGUUGACUCACGUCCUGACGAAGCAUCUCAGCCUGAAGCGUCAAAUGUACCUCUUCCUAGAGAUGCUGCCUGGCCUGCUGUGUUCACCAGCAACUUUUAUUCCAGCAUCUGCAGAUUUUCUUGUGUUGACCCACAUUAACUCCUGUCUUGAUAAUGUUUUGAUUUAAAAGUUUUCAAAUCCUGUCGCCUGACUCAUACAAAAUCAGUACCCUUCUCCAGGCCUACAAUCCUCUAUUCUCAUAGAAAUUAUAAAAUCGCAAACAGCUAAAAAGGCCCUUUGGCCACCCAAGUUUAUGAUAACCAUUAAGCAUCCACUUACACUAUUCCUAUUUUGUUCUCCCCAUAUUCAUUUGUUUAUUUAUUGAGAUCCAGUGCGGAUUUGGGCCUUCUGGCCCUUUGAGCCAAACUGCCCAGCAAUCCUCCAAUUUAUCCUAGCCUAAUCUCAGGACCAUUUACAAUGGCGAAUUAACUUACCAACCAGUACAUCUUUGGACUGUGGGAGGAAACCAGAGCACCCAGCAGAAACCCUGGUAGUCACAGGGAGAAGGUACAAACUUCUUACAGACAGUGGCGGGAAAUGAACCUGGGUCACCAUUACUGUAAAGCAUUGUGUUAAACACUGCAUUACUGUGCCACAUCAAUGUUCCCAUCGUCGUUCCUGGAUUCUAUCAUAAACAUAGUGGUAAAUUACAUUGGUCUAUUAACAUACCAAGUCACAGGUCUUUGAGAUGUGUAAGGAACCUUGAGCAUGCAGAAGAAUCUGCCCAGUCACAGAGAGAAUGUGCAAACUCCACACAAACAAUAAAAAAGGUCAGGAUUGAAUCCAGGUCACAGAAGCUCAGUUAGCUGUACUGCUGUAUCCUUGGAAUCAAACAAUGUUAUAGAAGUUAACUUGAUGUUUACUGGUGAUGGAGCGAUAACAGAGUCAGAAAAUCAGCUUGUGAGCAAUCAAAGUCCAAUCUGCUUCAAUGAGAGGAGGAUGUGAAUCUUAAAAAGGCAGAGAAUUUUGUUGAGGCCUUGGUAUAAUCUUUGCAGCAAAGGUGAUGACCUGUAAGUUAUUUUUGGCUUGAAGCUAUCUGAUAGAAGGUCACUGGACUUGGAAAGCCUUGCCAAGUGUUCCAAUACUACUAGAUUUUCAUUCUACAAGGUCUCUGAAGUGAAAGCAGUGUGACAAAGGAAUUUUCCCAAGAGUGUGCACAGUUACAUGAUAUUUCCAAGAGUCACAUGCAUGAGUGUGAAGGAACCUGCUUAGUUUGUCAUUGUACCCUGACCCCUUAAUGUAGUGUUACAUUUUUGUAACUUACUGCGUUACUUAGUGCUAAGAUUCAGGAUUGCAUUUUCCCAUUGAUGGCUUGGAGAUCAGGAUGUUCGAGAUGGCUACUCACAGAGAUGGUUUGAGGUCUUGGGUUCUUCCACCAAUUAAGAAAGGUAUCAUCUAAAGAGUAAAUAAAAAAGAUGAUCCAUUAUGCACCUCUGUCUAUUUAUUUAGAGAUACGGCGUGAAACAGGCCCUUUCGGCCAAGCAAUCUACGCAGCCCAGCAAUGCAUCCAUUUAACUCUAGCCUAAUCACAGGACCAUUUCCAAUGACCAAUUAAUCUUUUCACCGGCACAGUGGGAGGAAACUGGAGCACCUGGAGAAAACCCAUAUCGUACAAGGAGAACGUACAAACUCCUUACAGAUGGUGCCAGAAUUGAAUUUGAAAUUCCGAUGUCUUACCAACUAUGACACUAUUGUGGCACCCACUUUUUCUGAAGCAACAUCCCAAAUUGUUGUUAUUAAGAACAGCAA